CAAAUCUUGCUCCUCCUGGGGCAUCUGCCCCUGUUUCUCAACUGGGGGGGGGUAAAAAAAAUAAGGGGGGGCAAUUAGUGGUCCUCGUGGGGCAGAUUUUUGGGGUCCCUUCCUCCUUUUCAAACCCGUUUUUUGGGGUUUUCUUCCUCCCACCAAACCCCAAUUUUUGGGGUCCCCUCCUCCUUCUAGACCCAAAUUUUUGGGGUCUUUUCCUCCUUUUACACCCACACUUUUGUGGUUUUCUCCUUUUAUACCCAGAUUUUUGGGGUCCCUUCCUCCUUUUUAAACCCACAUUUUUGGGAUCCCUUCUUCCUUUUUAAACACAAAUUUUUGGGGUCCCUGUUCCUCUUUUUCAACUCCCUUUUUUGGGGGUUCCCCAACUCCUUUUCCACACGGAUUUUUUGGGAUCCGUUCCUCCUUUCCCACCCAGAUUUUUCAGGGACCCCUUCCUCUUUUCCCACCCAGAUUUUUCGGGGUCCCUUCCUCCUUUUCAAACCCGUUUUUUGGGGUUUUCUCCCUCCUUCCAAACCCCAGUUUUUGGGGUCCCCUCCUCCUUCUAGACCCAAAUUUUUGGGGGUCUUUUCCUCCUUUUACACCCACACUUUUGGGGUUUUCUCCUUUUAUACCCAGAUUUUUCAGGGACCCCUUCCUCCUUUCCCACCCAGAUUUUUCGGGGACCCCUUCCUCCUUUUCCACACAGAUUUUUUGGGGUCCCUUCCUCUUUUUACACCCACAUUUUUGGCCUCCCUCCUUUUUAAACCCACAUUUUUAGGACCCCUUCCUCCUUUCCCACCCAGAUUUUUUGGGGUUCCCCCCCCCCCAAAUCCCGGUACCUAUGGGGUCCCCGCAGGCGUCGCAGUACUCGGCGUGCCGCGCCUGGUAGCAGCGGCAGCAGUAGGGCCGCCCGCGCCGCAUCACGUAGCGCCGCCCGCCCAGCGGCGCCUCGCACUCGAAGCAGCAGAAGUGGCGCACGUGCCAGUGCCGGCCCUCGGCCUCCGUGCACUGCGGGGCGAAAAUGAUCUGAAACGGGGAAAAAAGAGAGAAAAAAUGUUAGUUUGGGGGCAAAGAGUGAGUUUUGGGGGAAAAAACCUGAAGUUUGGGGGAAAAAAUAGCAAUUUUGGGGGGAAAAAGUCUAUCUUAGUAGGGAAAUGUCAAUUUUAGGAGGGAGAUAUCAGUUUCAGCAGAAAAAAUAUUAAGUUUGGGGGGGGAAAAAGGUCGACUUUGGGGGAAAAAGGUCGAAAGAAAGUCAUUUUUUAGGGAAAAACUCAAUUUUAGGGAAAAAAAGUAAAUGUAGGGGUAAAAAUUUCAGGGAAAAAAUGUCAAUUCUGUUUUUUGUAUAAAGGAAAAGGGGAGAAUAAAGUCAUUUGUUUAUUUAAUAAAGGAACA
rnacentral:lncRNA from 1 species